rnacentral:rRNA from 1 species
AGUGAACGCUGGCGGUAGGCCUAACACAUGCAAGUCGAACGGCAGCACAGUAAGAGCUUGCUCUUACGGGUGGCGAGUGGCGGACGGGUGAGGAGUACAUCGGAAUCUACUUUUUCGUGGGGGAUAACGUAGGGAAACUUACGCUAAUACCGCAUACGACCUACGGGUGAAAGCAGGGGAUCUUCGGACCUUGCGCGAUUGAAUGAGCCGAUGUCGGAUUAGCUAGUUGGCGGGGUAAAGGCCCACCAAGGCGACGAUCCGUAGCUGGUCUGAGAGGAUGAUCAGCCACACUGGAACUGAGACACGGUCCAGACUCCUACGGGAGGCAGCAGUGGGGAAUAUUGGACAAAGGGCGCAAGCCUGAUCCAGCCAUACCGCGUGGGUGAAGAAGGCCUUCGGGUUGUAAAGCCCUUUUGUUGGGAAAGAAAAGCAGCAGGUUAAUACCCCGCUGUUCUGACGGUACCCAAAGAAUAAGCACCGGCUAACUUCGUG